rnacentral:rRNA from 1 species
CCUACGGGUGGCAGCAGUGAGGAAUAUUGGUCAAUGGCCGAGAGGCUGAACCAGCCAAGUCGCGUGAGGGAAGAAUGUCCUAUGGAUUGUAAACCUCUUUUGUCAGGGAGCAAAGUCACCCACGUGUGGGUGUUGGAGAGUACCUGAAGAAAAAGCAUCGGCUAACUCCGUGCCAGCAGCCGCGGUAAUACGGAGGAUGCGAGCGUUAUCCGGAUUUAUUGGGUUUAAAGGGUGCGUAGGCGGGACAUUAAGUCAGCGGUAAAAUCGAGGGGCUCAACCCCUUUAAGCCGUUGAAACUGGUGAUCUUGAGUGGGCGAGAAGUAUGCGGAAUGCGUGGUGUAGCGGUGAAAUGCAUAGAUAUCACGCAGAACUCCGAUUGCGAAGGCAGCAUACCGGCGCCCGACUGACGCUGAGGCACGAAAGCGUGGGGAUCGAACAGGAUUAGAUACCCCGGUAGUC